CUGUUAGACAAACGAUCGACGAAAAAAAAUCAGAACGAUACUCUCAAUUAGGGUUCUUUACUCUCGGAGAAAUCUCUCUACUUUUUUCAUUGUUCAGAUCAAGAUCAAGAUCAAGAUUUAAAUCGUUUAAUGUUUCAUCAAGAUGCAAUCAAUGGUGAAAUAGUAUGCACAGAGAUGAAUAUGAUCAGUAAUAAUAGAGAUCGAAGAUGUGAGUUGAAGAUCAGUCUCGAUUGGGGUGAUGUGGGAUGUAAUAACAUAGAAGCAACCGGAUUAAGCACAAAAUGGAUCAUAACAUGAUCAAGAUAAGGAAGAUUAAAACCACAAUCAAGAAUAUAUAACAGAAAGGUAACGGCUUAUUUCUCUGUUUUGUAUGAAUAUAGAUUUGAUUAGAUCCUAUUUGAUCUCUGUUUCUUCUAUGGUUUAACUAUGAUUAAAUUUCUGAACUGGAACUUUGAUCUCACUGUAUUUAGUGUUCUGUUUUGAUAAAGAGCUAGUGUCGGGUAUAUAUAUAUAUAUAUAUAUAUGGAACCGUAUUUUGAUCAGAAAGUAUGAUCUGUUUUUUUCUCUUUAAUUGUUAUAUGCGUCGUCUUGCUUCUGUUAUCAUAGUUGAGCAAUCAUUGUUUUAGUAUAGUAGAUGUUGUGCGUAAAGAUCUUAAAGUGUGAUGAGCUUAUUAUAAUUUGAUUGAGUUUAUUAUCAUUUUGGAAUAUCACUGUAAUUGUUUUUCUGUGAUUGUAUUCUUAUAGCAACGGAUGUUAGUGAUAAAACACAAAUAUUUUUGUAUUAGUAUCUGGUGUGAUAUAGUUUUCAAUAUAUCCUUUCGUGCAUAGCUAAAUUGUAUUAAAUUUUUGUCAUUUGGUUUCAUGAUAUAUACAAUGGUGGAGAGGCACAGAAAAAACAAAGGUUUACAACCGAAGAAGAGCAUUACCAUACUUCUGAAAAGAAGAUGCAUAUUGAAGAAUGAAGAAUUUAUGUUAUUGACCCAGGUUGUGUUCUAAGAAACUGGGAAGAUGGCCAUGACAAUUUCCAGCGGAGUCCACACCAAUGGGCGCUCCAACCACUAUUCUUCUAAUUUUGACAAUAUAGCCCCUCUUAACUCUUCCUAGUUACAUCAGCAACGUCAUGUGGCAUGUGGAGUUUAUCUUAUAGUUAAUUAAGAAAAGAGUAUAUUCUACAGCAAACAACAUGUUGAUAUGGCCGAGUUGGUCUAAGGCGCAGGAUUAAGGUUCCUGUCCGAAAGGGCGUGGGUUCAAAUCCCACUGUCAACAGUUUACUUUUUAUAUUCCAUGUGUUCAUGUAUCACGGUGUGGGACUUGCUUAUUCUAUUGAUGUGGCAUUUCGGAUUCUGAGGUUUGAUUUGUGAUUUUCCCUUUUCUUUGGGAGAUGAACACAUCAUCAACAAAAACAAAG